UACAGAGGUCCCAAGCGUUGUUCGGAUUCACUGGGCGUAAAGGGUGCGUAGGUGGCUUGGUAAGUUUGAUGUGAAAUCUCCGGGCUUAACCCGGAAAUGGCAUUGAAUACUAUUGAGCUGGAGGUUUGGAGGGGGACUGGAAUUCUCGGUGUAGCAGUGAAAUGCGUAGAUAUCGAGAGGAACACCAGUGGCGAAGGCGGUUGCCUGGAGCUUUGCUGACGCUGAUGCGCGAAAGCGUGGGGAGCGAUCCGG
rnacentral:rRNA from 1 species